rnacentral:sRNA from 1 species
GAAGAAAAUGGCAGUGUAAGAUAAGGAGCCAGAGAUGGCCUAGGCCAUCUGAUGAUUACAGCCUCUGAAGGAGGUCACAGUAGGAGGGGGUUCUGGGGAAUGGGGAACAGGAAUUCACUUCGGGGAGCGGGCAUCUUGGUGCUGAAGCUCUGGCCCCUCUCCCACUCAUCUCAGAGCAAGGCAGAACAUGGCCAUAAGGUCCGGCUGGCAGUGGGCAGCGGGCUGCGCCCAGAUACCUGGGAGCGUUUUGUGCGGCGCUUUGGGCCCCUGCAGGUGCUGGAGACAUAUGGACUGACAGAGGGCAACGUGGCCACCAUCAACUACACAGGACAGCGGGGCGCUGUGGGGCGUGCUUCCUGGCUUUACAAGCAUAUCUUCCCCUUCUCCUUGAUUCGCUAUGAUGUCACCACAGGAGAGCCGAUUCGGGACCCCCGGGGGCACUGUAUGGCCACAUCUCCAGGUUGGUGGUGUUCUGGUGGGGUGGGCGGGGUGCUGAAGCUAGCACAGGAGGACUGGAAUUGGAGACUGGGGUGGAUGGGGGCAGGAGGCUCUGGGAAAGGUGACAGCACUCCUGACCCUGGUGACUCUGCCAGGUGAGCCAGGGCUGCUGGUGGCCCCGGUAAGCCAGCAGUCCCCAUUCCUGGGCUAUGCUGGCAGGCCAGAGCUGGCCCAGGGGAAGUUGCUAAAGGAUGUCUUCCGGCCU